rnacentral:rRNA from 1 species
UUCCUACGGGGGGCAGCAGUGGGGAAUCUUCCGCAAUGGGCGAAAGCCUGACGGAGCAACGCCGCGUGAGUGAAGAAGUAUUUCGGUAUGUAAAGCUCUAUCAGCAGGGAAGAAAAUGACGGUACCUGACUAAGAAGCCCCGGCUAACUACGUGCCAGCAGCCGCGGUAAUACGUAGGGGGCAAGCGUUAUCCGGAUUUACUGGGUGUAAAGGGAGCGUAGACGGAUAAGCAAGUCUGAUGUGAAAAUCCGGGGCCCAACCCCGGAAUUGCAUUGGAAACUGCAUAUCUAGAGUGUCGGAGAGGC